GUGCCAGCCGCCGCGGUAAUACGAAGGGGGCUAGCGUUGCUCGGAAUCACUGGGCGUAAAGCGCACGUAGGCGGAUCUUUAAGUCAGGGGUGAAAUCCCAAGGCUCAACCUUGGAACUGCCUUUGAUACUGGGGAUCUCGAGUCCGGAAGAGGUUGGUGGAACUCCGAGUGUAGAGGUGAAAUUCGUAGAUAUUCGGAAGAACACCAGUGGCGAAGGCGGCCAACUGGUCCGGCACUGACGCUGAGGUGCGAAAGCGUGGGGAGCAAACAGGAUUAGAUACCCCUGUAGUCC
rnacentral:rRNA from 1 species